GUGUUGUAUGAAAGGAGAGAAUGUUAGCACUCCCCUUGACAAGGAUAGAAGAGGCCCUUGGGCCUUACAACACGUUCGGUUAAGGCAGUGCCACCUACUUUGUGGCAUCUAACCACUGUUUUUC
rnacentral:ncRNA from 1 species